CCAAUCAACUUCAUCACCGUCUUCCACCUACACCGAACGUCAAGCAAAUUUUGUCCUAUCGUCGCAUCACCGUUAGACCGAGUCACUCCGGUUCCGUCACGCCAUGUAUGUUUAGAUUUGAAUUGUUCGGUUAUUUGUUGCACCGAUCCGUCUCCAUUAGAAUUUGAUUCUCCACAAUUUGGGUAAGUUAUGGAAUUUACAUAUAGAGUGAAUUGAAUGGAUUAAAUUGUUUGUAGAAGUGAUUGAUUUCUCUUCAAUUAUGUUUAGGUCGGUUCGUUGCACUUUAGUUUGAAAAAUAAGCUUAAGUAAGGUUAUAAGGUAAGGGAUUCUCUACUAUUGGACUCACCUAUAGUUCUGAAUUGUGCUGUCUGUAUAGUUACCUCCGAUUGAGUAAAGAUGUCGAAACGAUUGGGACAGAACCAAGAAACCGAGUCAAGGGCAUCACCGUUCGGCUUUUGUGGGUAAGACUCUUCGAGAUCACUCAAAUCGGACCGUCCAGUGGUUAGAUGUGAACUUUCGAGGCCUCCGACCCCGUUCUAAGUCUGGUCGUUCCUUUCUAGGUCAUUGUGCCUUUCUUCGACGUUUUGGGACAGAACAAAGAAACCGAGUCUGGGGCAUCACCGUUCGGC
rnacentral:lncRNA from 1 species